rnacentral:rRNA from 1 species
AGAGUUUGAUCCUGGCUCAGGACGAACGCUGGCGGCGUGCCUAACACAUGCAAGUCGAGCGAGGAACUUCGGUUCCUAGCGGCGGACGGGUGAGUAACACGUGGGCAACCUGCCUCAUAGAGGGGGAUAGCCUCCCGAAAGGGAGAUUAAUACCGCAUAACACUGCGGAUUCGCAUGAAACUGCAGUUAAAGGAGCAAUCCGCUAUGAGAUGGGCCCGCGGCGCAUUAGCUAGUUGGUGAGGUAACGGCUCACCAAGGCGACGAUGCGUAGCCGACCUGAGAGGGUGAUCGGCCACAUUGGAACUGAGACACGGCCCAGACUCCUACGGGAGGCAGCAGUGGGGAAUAUUGCACAAUGGGCGAAAGCCUGAUGCAGCAACGCCGCGUGGAGGAAGAAGGCCUUCGGGUUGUAAACUCUUGUCUUCUGGGACGAUAAUGACGGUACCAGAGGAGGAAGCCACGGCUAACUACGUGCCAGCAGCCGCGGUAAUACGUAGGUGGCGAGCGUUGUCCGGAUUUACUGGGCGUAAAGGAUGCGUAGGCGGAUAUUUAAGUGGGAUGUGAAAUACCCGGGCUUAACCUGGGUGCUGCAUUCCAAACUGGAUAUCUAGAGUGCAGGAGAGGAAAGCGGAAUUCCUAGUGUAGCGGUGAAAUGCGUAGAGAUUA